UUGUCCUUUCAUUAAUGUCCUUUUCUUGUGUUUUGGAUUCUGAGACACGACUGACUGGAGAGCCAUCUUAUUUUGCAAUCUUUAUAGAAAUACUGAGAACCUGGUUUAUUUCCUCCUUACUCCAGACACUAGUAAAAACUAUUGUUUUCUUUUAAUCAGAGCUCUCAAUCUUUCAAACAGGAAGACGUGGUGAAAUCCGCUUUCUGUUUUCAAAAACAAGUGCUUUCUGUCUUUUUGAUGAAUGCUUUUCAUUGGCCAACAUAGGGUCUGUACAAACUGCUGGUGCAGGAAACAUGGUUACAACAUGUUCUUCUAUGAGAAAAUUGCUUUUAUAGUGCAAAAGUACACAAGUAGUGCAAAUAUUACAAGCAAAUGAAAUGUAUACUUGAGUUAAAAUAAAUCCUUAAAUCCAACACCAUGCAUGGUUUUUCCUCAGU